UUGUAUUAUAUGUCCCUGUUACAAUAUUUUCUGUGUACAAUAAACCACACGAAGGAUGGCGGAAGUAGGAACUUUUUUAGUUGUUACGAAAUCGCACUUUGACAACCGCUUUCAUAUAGUAGCAUUUGAUGGUCAAAAACUUUUUGAUAUAAACCUGCAAGAUGAUUAUGUGAAUGCUAUACAGCCGGGUAAAAUUUAUCAAUUUAAAGUUGUGUAUCAUCGUAAUCCAACUUCCAUCGCAGCAAAGACAAUCAGUGUGCAAGGGCAACCAAAACCUAUACCAAUGCCCCCAUUUGGCAUGUUCAGUGCGCUCGGAAAAUUGGCUUACACUGCCUUUCAUGAUAUAUUUAAGGUGUCACACGAAGAACCAUAUCUGGACGUCGGAAGUAAUAUCCCUCCGCCAAAAGCAUAUCUUUGCCAAGGAGACUGCAUAAAGAAACAGCUAAUGCCUGAUGGUAAAACGAGAUGUCUUAUCAGCAUAGAUAGUCGGGAAAUGAACCUGCAGUAUGCUGGGUAUGGCAUAAAUGGUGUUCAUUUGGAUAGCUUUGAUGGAUUACCCGUCGAGUAUGAUCCGAACUUAGCAUGGCGAACAUAUACACUCAUAUUCCUUGUAGCAGAUCCAAUUACCGGCUCAUGGUAUGGACCAAGAAAUUACAUCAUUGUGGCCGCAAUAUUUUAGUUUUUAUAACACCGAGGAAAAUAUUUAAAUAUUUUAAUUCAUUUAAUGAAACUUUUAUCGUUUAGAUAAUUUGAUAUAUGCAUAAUUAUGUUUUUUUAAUUAUAUUGAGAUAUCUUGAUAAAACAGACUGUAAGGCACAAAUGUUUGUCUUGUUAAGGAGCCAUUAUUCUUGUGAUAAAAUCUGUCCUGCACAGAC